rnacentral:rRNA from 1 species
UACGAAGGGGGCUAGCGUUGCUCGGAAUCACUGGGCGUAAAGCGCACGUAGGCGGAUGUGCCAGUCAGGGGUGAAAUCCCGGAGCUCAACUCCGGAACUGCCUCUGAUACAGCACGUCUUGAGUUCGAGAGAGGUGGGUGGAAUUCCUAGUGUAGAGGUGAAAUUCGUAGAUAUUAGGAAGAACACCGGUGGCGAAGGCGGCCCACUGGCUCGAUACUGACGCUGAGGUGCGAAAGCGUGGGGAGCAAACAGG